GUAACAGUAGUGCUGCUGGAGAUUGGGUUAACUGUGGGAUUUGUGGUGAGUGGGCACAUUUUGGCUGUGAUAGAAGACCAGGUCUCGGCGCCUUCAAGGACUAUGCAAAGACAGAUGGACUGGAAUACAUAUGUCCGCAAUGCAGCGUGACUAAUUUUAAAAAGAAGGUGCUGAGAACAGCAAACGGAUAUUCCUGAACCUAAGCUUAAUGACUUCAACAACAGCAAUCCCAAUUGAUUAUAUACAUGUAUUCUCUUAGAACAUCAACUGUGUUUUUGCAGAGAAAUUAGUUAAAGCUUGUAUUACUUUGGGCAUUAGCUUCUUGUGUUUGUUCUGGACAAACAGAGGAAGACGCGGAGGCGUAUAUUGAACAGAAGUGAAAAGGCGUUGGAAGGCGCCAGGCGGUGACUAGGAGUGGUGCCACUCUCAUUAGGAGGAAGAAUUGUAGAGAUACAGAAAGAGUUGAGACUGCAGGCAGGCAGGCUCAUGGCAAGUCUUUGUAAUAUAUAUAAUCCUCUGUUGAGGAUGUGACAUUUUGUAGCUUGGUUGGUGGAAUUCAUAUUUCUGAAAUUUCACACAUCUUUUUUUUG
rnacentral:misc_RNA from 1 species